AUUUUUGCCAAAACCAACAUAGUUGUCUUUUUCUGAAAUCAUGUGGUUUAAAGUUCUAGUGACUUCUGCUACUUUCUGUAAUUUCCCCCCAAUGUUAGGUACAGGUAAGUACAUGUACUGGUGUAAGUGGGUUGUCUUACAGCAGAAGGAAAUAGUUCAGAGGAUUCUUUGGAAAUAAGGCCUUUGACACUGGAUGUUGUAGUGCUUAGUAAUGACUCUCACUGCCUAACCUUGAUAAAGUUAUCUGCAUGUUGGGGCAACUGCUUAAUAGCUGAUAGAACAGGUGAUGUCUGGAGUGAUUAAUGGUGCUGGAAUGAAAUGAUAUCGUAAAGGUCUACUCAUGACGUGCCAUGCUGGCCCCAUCAGCAGCCCUGGCACUGCAGCCCUUUCUCCCUCCCACUCUGAAAUGAGUUGCCUGGUUACAAGAACUGGUGUGAUGACUAGGCGUAUUCCUUAUCUUGUCAACCUGGUUUCACUACAAGGCUUGAAAGUAUCAUCAUUUGUGUAUGUGGACUAUGAAACACUGCCUGUUUCAUCAAUAUGCGAUGUUUUAGUGAGUCCGGCAGUGACCACUUAAACCCAAUUGAGUGUGUUAUCUCUAAAAUGUGUUUCCGUGAGAAUCUUGGUUAUUUCAUUGUGGAUAAAAAACCAACCACAGAGAUGAAUGUAAAUACUGAGGCCCUGACUGCUGGGAGGUGUUCUGGUUGACAGGCCAGCCAAACAGACCUGAACCCCGCCAGCCAGCACCUGGACGAUGGUUGCAGCAGAUGGUUAGAGAAAGGAUGAGGCACAGAGCAAAUGUGCUCACCUUCCCCUUGGCACACCCUCUUGCCUUCUGUCAGUUGCUGGUUUACAGACUCUGGUGGCAGCAAUGGUAUCUGUGGCACCGUAUCUAACAGCCGCAGAUGGAUCUGCUCUGCAUAAACCUUUUAAUGCAUUUUUGAGCUCGCUCUAAUUCCUAACAUCACAGGAACGUAAAGAGGCUAUCGGCACUUGUUUGAUAUUCUCUAGUUUUGCUGUGAGUAAAACAUGAUCGAAUAUAAAUUUGCUUCAUUUUGUUGUUGUUUUUCUUUUUUAUAAAUCUGUAAAGAAAUAGGCAUUACCUAUCUCUAAGCGGAUGUAUAUGUGGUCAUGCCACUAAAACACUCUGGCUCUUUAACAAUUAAAAAAAUAAUUUCUGUCAAGAUGUCGUAACAAGUUCAGACGUCACGUGUUCUUCCCCAAAGAGAAAAGACUUUUCUGCUAAAAACAAAAAAGCUUGCAGAAAAGGGAGAAGGAGGAACUUAGAAGCUGGGUACAGCUUAGAAGCUGUCUUCUAAAUUCAUCUAGUGCAUGCAGUCUGUGAUUUACAACCAACAGUGGGGUUUGUGGAACCUAAAAACCUCUUGUAAUUGAAGAGAGGCGAGUAUCCAGAUCCACAUGUGCUGCUUGACCAGGUUAAGUGGUAACAUAGCAGAAGAACACUCCAAAAACAAAGUACAAUAUUCAUACUGCCAUAGUAGCAGAAGUCCUGCCUCUGUAGCAUUUAUGCCAAAUGAACAAUUCGUUUUCGAGUAAAAUCUGCACCUGUCUUUUGUCUGAUAUUGGGAGCAUUGGAAUUUUUCUCAUCUUUCUGUUGGUUUUCAGUUAACAUUGCCCUUCUGUAUUUUCAAGGACAGCUUUAAGAGUUGGUUCAACUCAGUAUUCUUUCACACUGUUGUCUAAAAUAGAGUUUCUUUGCCAGUCAGUCUUUAAGCACAGACUUGCAUGCGUUUGGACCAGCCUCAUGGUUUUAGAGUUGCUGCGCUGUCUGGCACAGGUACAUACAGAUAAUGUGUCGACUCAUGGCGUUUCCAUCACAUGUGGCUUUAACAUUAGUGUCCUGUGUGAUAUAGUCUGGGUAAACCACGUUAUUGGAGGCUCUUUACAAGGCCCCCUGGUAUGACAGAGCUGUGUACGAAGUUCAGCAUUUAGAUACGCUUGCUAGUUGGAGGGGUGGGAAGAGGAGGAUAGAGGGAGCUUGUUCUAAGGUCGCCUGUGGUGCUGCUCUUGUUUUGCCGACAAAGAGGGAGCUUAAUUCACUGGAGCUGUCAAUCUGGUAGUUCUCAAGCACUGAAAGAAAACUCCUGUAAACGUGUAUGUGAGGGAGGAAAGGGAAAAAGAAACUAAGCAGCUCUACUGUUUUAAUGAAAGGCUGACGGCAAAAAAACCAAAAGUAUUCGUAGUUGUGGACCUGCACCCUGUAUCUAGCAGAAAAGGGGAAAGCAUAGGAGUAAGAGGGGAGAAAUAUCUCUGCUGACACAUAGGGUUAGAGCACCAUGUGCUGUGCUAAGAGUACGUGAUGAUAAAAUUGAGCAGCGCCUUUUGUCACUCAGAAGUUUACUUUUUCAAAACCACCACCUUUUAAAGGUGGUUUAAUCUGUGGAAAUAAAAUGGUUUGCACUAUGCCUCUUGCUGUUCCUGGUUCCAUGGAUUGCAAGUGGGAGCUGGGACUAUGAAGGAAAAGAGAUCUGUUUGCAGGGGACAAGCACUGGAUGGGGUUCUAUUUUGACUUUGGGGCUUGACAUUUUUCUGUAACCUUUUCUUCUGUCUGAAGGAAUAGAUCAAAGUUCCGGGGAUUCUGUGCAGGCUGGAGUGAUUUUCAAGUGAGUAGAGUUUUUUGACCUUUUUCUUGGCCUUUACAGAAGGCCUUUACAAAAUUUUAGUACACUUUGAGGAAUAGAAAGUAUAGGCUUGCUGCUAGAUAGGGGUUGAAGCUCCAUCUUUUUUCUGUUUCUGAUGCUAUUUUAGUUCUCAGUUCUCAGCAUCUGGGAGAAUUUGUGCUUUAAAUUUUCCUUUAUUCACUGUUCAGUAGAGUGAAGAAUCUUUGGUCAUAGACAUUCCCAAGUUUAAAUGGCUUUUGUUUGGGACUUUGUUUCAGGAACUGUCCAUUGAUGUCCUUUCUGAUUCCUUUGUUAGUGCCAUGUGAUCAUAGCUUUACUCUUCAUUGCUUACUAGUGAUGGAUUGCCUGUUUUCAGAUAGCACUGCACCUCACAGUAGAGCUUUCUUGUGGAUCAGAACUUUUUUGUUUGUUUUCUCAGUAAAAACAAUGGAUUUUACUAUUGUCUGGUCUAAAGGCAAUUUAAAGACUCUCUUGGCUAUCUUUUCCUUAAAGUAUAUAAGGUUAUUGCUGGCUCUGGGUUUUGUAAUAAAACCACAUGGAUCUUUAGCAUAUCAGUUCAUGUCUCUGGAGAGUGGAGAAGACUUUACUUGACUGAUGCUGAUCUGCUGCUGUGUUUUAAUUGUGAAUGUUUCUAAGAGACUGGUAGGAUGUAAAUACUCUUUUGAGUCAACGAGGAGUCUGACAUUCGGAGCCCAAAAUGGUGCUGGAAGGAGCCAAAAGUGAUUGAAUGAGAGAUGCAUAAAGUCAUUGGGAAGUUUUAUCUUUUUUUUUCUCUAAGUAACAUAAACUCAGGUGCAUAGUACAGAAUUAUGGUUGCAGCAGACAGUCACUGCCGUUUGUGCUGUGCUGACCACCAGCUUUUCUAGUAGAACUCUUUUCUCAUUUUUGUGCUACUGUGUUAAGCAGUUUCCUGAUCCAGUGCAGUGCUGCAUCUUGGUUCACAAUAGGUAUUGUUUGGGUGGGGGUUGGCACAACUCUUUUGUGCUGUCAUUUGAUCUCUUGUUUGUCUUGAAUGAUCUAUUAAAAUGUAAUGCUUAAUCUCAUCCCUUUUUUGGCAGUUUUUCUUCUAGUAUUGUUGCAGUGGUAAUGAAACAGUGUAGCUGUAAUUGCAAGAAAUCAAUGGAGAAAAACAAUAUUUUGGGAUGUUUCUUUUGCGUCUUUGCCUAUAGAACACGGAGAAUGGCCACAUUGUAGGCAGGGUCAGUUGAACCUUCAGUCUGCCGUGCUGUGGCUGUUCAUGGGUUAACAGAUAACUUCCCCGGUUUUUCCCUUUUUCCUGGUUCCUUCUGUUUGUCAUUGUGAAAAAGGUUUGUAGAACCAGACAGAAGAGCUUUCUUCAAACAGGCAAAUGUGGUUCUGAGACCGUAGAACAUGGGUAGAGUAUUUACUACAGCUGACAUGUAUUUUUAAAGUUACUUUUCUUUCUUUGUCUGUCAGCUUUGAUACCAGUGGACUGUGGAAAAGCAUGUUUCCUCCCUGCCCCCUAUCCCAAAUUGUGCUAACUGCAAUUAGGAGACCUUAAUUAAAAUUCUUGAUUCGUAGCUUGGGCAAAGCAUUUGGAAGCAAAGUCAUUUAUUCUAAGGCUUACUACAGAUUUCUUCUUGGGCAAAGUUGUUUCCUGAUGUUUAAGGUCAAGAUCUCUCAAUCUGUUGUUCUGUAGACGAGUUAGAUGCGGGUCAAGUUCUUUGUACUAAUGCUUAUUCCUAAAAUAGUAAUCCUUGCAUAUGAAUUAGGCUGAGAUUCUCAAAAGCUCUUACUGUUAAGGUGCUGAGUUUUCUUGACCUUUGUGGGAGCUGAGCAUGUUUGCAGACCUUGGGCUAAUCCAGCUUCCUCUGAACCUGUUUGGAAUCUCUGUAGCUGGAUUCCUUGGGAACUGGAUAUACCUGGUGUUCAUAUUUAAUUAUGGUUUGUGUUUUGGUGUGUGGUUUGUGCUUUUUGUUUGUUUUGUUUUUGUAAUGGGAAGUCUGAGACACAGGGCUGGAAAUUGAACUUGUUCACAGUGGCACAAGUUCAGUGGCAAACCUGGGAUCAAUACAUAAGCCUCUUGCUGAUUUCUUCUUGCUUUGUUGCACCAUAACUACUGAGAGCAGGCACUUAAAAGAUGUAAUCGCUUGAUAACAACGAUUGAUGGCCAGGAAUCAAAAGCGUGGUAGGUAGUAAUUAAAACAUGCAACCGCGAUGCCGUUGAAAGUGCUCUGAACGCCUACUUGGCCCAGGAAAGUAUCCGGUAGCGUAAUUUGAAAUGUUUUUGUAGGACCAAGUGUAGUAUUUGAGUUUCCUGUUACUUGUUAGUGUUACUGCCACCUUUUCUUAUGUUGACUGCUAUGUGGGUGUGAAAGCUCCCUGCAAGAAUAGACUUUUAACACACUUGCUGCUGCUGGUAGUGAACGCUGAAACACAAAGUGUUUGUUUCUGGGAAAUGCACAUGGCUCAUGUAAAAUCUCCCUGUUCUCUCUCCUGUUAAAUGAAAGUAGAUCGCCAGUUGUUUGGGGCUGAUCCAGGUAGAAGGGAGCAGCCUAGCAGUGCUGCUAAUAUUACAGCAAAGGAAGGCUUGUGCUGGAGAAUGGUUUUGGUAGAUCUUUAAAACAGUGAUGUCUUUGUGGGGUUGUUUUCAGCAGCCACUUUGGCUUAGAGGGGAUAAUUAUUGUAGCCUUUCUAAGAAGACGGGUGAAGGUUCUCUUUCGGUAAAGCUUGACCUCCUUUUGAUGAAACUAUUAAAUGGUUAGCUUUUUUUCCCCAUUCUUUAUAUGUCUUUGAAUGUGAAAAUUCUUUCCCUGAGUUUUUUUUUUUUUCCUCUCCCCUCCAAUUAAAUUGUUUAUUCAAAAUAUCUGGUGUCGGUGUUGGAUGCCUACUCUAGCUCAGGAAACUGGAGGGCAUUCCUGCAAGGCCAAUCCCCAAAAAACUGCGAGGUGGCUCUUUCUUGCUGUGCUGUGCAUGUAUAGUUUGACUAUGAGGGCUUUUUGAGGCACACUGCCCAGACAACUUUGAAGUAUGAAUAAAGUCUCAGGUGUACAUAGAUGAGCUGCAAACAGUAGAAAUGUGUUUAAAUUUUGAUGUCUUCCAUGUAUUCACUGGGGUGGGGACUGCACAGGGAAUUUCCAAAUCAAGGAAUACUCUCCGAUCCAAGAGAGAAUAGGGAACAGUCUCUUAGGCAUUGACCUGGCAGACAGCAUAGGGUUGGCUUUUGGCUCUGUAGUAAGGUUCAUUGUAACUUAAGCAAAUCAGUCAGUUUCCCAAUAUGAUACUUUUUCCACUGGUCAAAUGCAAGAAUAAUACAAACCCAUUGUGAUGCUUUUGUGUAGCUGAACUGACUGCAAAUUUCUCAUAGGUGGUUGGAUGUCAGAGGAGAGCCAAAAUGUUUACUGCUUCAUAUUUGAUAUAUCUUGAUAUUUGUCACCAUCUUUUAACGGAUAUCUAUCUAUUCCAAGGCAUAGUUCAAAUUAAAAGGCCAGGUUUUAAAAAUUUCUCGGCUCCUCACUGGUGAUUUCUGUAAAGGAAAUAUAAUCGAACCCAGUUGUUGAGGACUCCAGCAUGUUUUAACAGUUUUACCUCUAUCUUCUUUUAUCUGUUAGACCCAUGCUUCUUGCAUGGGUGCCUGAGUUCCAAGAAGUCUCUUGUAACCCUGUAAAUGGAGCAAAUAGUUGCUGUUUCCCAAGUGUACACAAAACCUGAAGAAACACAGGAAAAUGAAAAAUCUGGAACCCACGUGUAAAUUUGAGCUUGAGCCUAAACCUACUGAGGCUAAUGGAAGGUUUUUGGUUUUUUUUAAUUGAUAAAACAGUUUCCCUAACACAAGAACUUUGGAAGGAAAAAACCUCUCAAAACGUAGAAGUCUUUAAUUCUUCUUAUAGCCAAUUAUCUAAGAAGGUGCUAUGUAACUUACGCAUCUAGUGAGCUAAAAGAAAAAGUUGCUUCUCAGAAAUUAUGUAUUUUCUUUCACAUCUGCAGGUUGUUUACUGGGACUGGCUCUUCAGGAAUUCUUCACUCCUUUGUGUUUAUUAUACACAACUUUACUUGUAACAAACAUCUGAAAGACUUGAAUGAUUGGCUGGCCGAGGGUUGCAUCAGAAGUGGGUAGCAGCUUGGUUUUGUCAUGCUUAUUUAAAAGUUAAAAGAUCAGGUGCACUCUGCAGCCUUUUUUCUAAAGGAAGCUGCUGUUCACCAUUGUACUAAGAAACUAUUUUUUCCCCUCUAAAUGAGACCCUGGAUCUCCUAGGAGAUUUGAAGACUGCAUAUUUAUUUUCUGAAAAAUAGAAUAAUUUGAGUCUUCUGGACUGAUGCUUGAGAAACAGCACAAUACCAUUUUCAAGUGGCUGGCAAGCAGUACAGGCAGCGUUGUGUCCUUCCUUUACAGGUGAGGAUUCAGCUGUGAACCACUGGCAGGAUCGCAUCCCAGCUGUCAAAGUGGAGGGGUGUAGUAUAAACACUCCCAAAUGAAAACAAGUCGGGGGGGUGGGUCACACAAUUAAUUUGGUUUAGAUGAAGCUUAGUAUUUGAAGGUGGGCUCUUUUGAUGUCAGUUGUCUCAUCUACGGGGUGGAAAACAGUAUGUCUGCAGAACACAGUGUGUUCAGUUCAUCUCUUUGUGUAUGUGAAUGUUUCAAGGAGUGGUCUCACAGGACUGGAAAAAUGCCCAAAAAAGAAUGAUGGCUUUUUAGACUACAGUGCCCUGUACCUCCUCUUGUGCUUGCUUUCCAAAUGGACAGCUGAGCCACAUCUAGGAAAGAAGACAAAUGUGAUCAGCGCUGGCUGCCUGCUGUGUGAUUCUCUGAGCAAGUGUGAGCACCCUCUUGAUCAGAGGCCAGGCUCAUGCUUCAUGUUUUUUGAACUGUUCUGCCGUGAAAAAGACUAAUUUCUUUUUACUAUGAUUUCCUGGAUUACCUGUGGACUAGUAAUGGCUUCUUUUCCUGAUGCAAUGCAUAUGGUUUCAGGAGAUCCUUAUUAUGGGUGCUCUGCUUUUUUGCUUAAGACUGACAAUGUCCCAUAGAUUUCCCAUGCUCAUGACCUGUUGGAGUUUGCCUUUCUGCUCUCUCUCUCUUGCCUCUCUAAGAUAUACUUUUCUGGUGGUGUUGGUGUGUGGAGUUUUGUUUUGGUUUUGUCUUCCCCCCCUCCACCCUGCAAUGGGCAGAAAUAUUAACAUGGUCUUUUCCUUUUGGCUUUGGAAAUCCUUUGGAAGGAUUUCUGUAUGGUCCCACUUGUGCUGAAGAAAUUAUGUUUAACAAAGCUCUGACUGCUUUGUCCAUUAGGCAGGUGUGUGGUGAGUGAUAAAGGGUGGUUGGAGUAGUUCCAAUACUGAAUGGAGUACUUGGUGAUGGUACUAGCCCAGGAUGGCUAAUCCAACUGUUGUCUUGAGCAUAAGCACAGAAGCCAUGGAAUUCAGGAUUGUUGUUGCUAUGCAGGUGCCAGUUUAUAGCAGACAACGUCCAAGAUGAUUGUCGACAUCCAAAAGCUCACUGUUGGUUGUCUUGGGUGUGACAGAUAUAACGGUCCCCAGCAGGUGCUUUUCUCCUUCCUCCCAGACCGCCCUGCUGUGGAGGGUACAAGGAGCAGGACCACAGCUGCCACCUUGUCUUGUAUCACUGGAGUGAACGUAGCUGGGACGGUUGCCGUACCCUCUCAGGCAAGGACUGAGAAGGCUGAGGACUCUCGAGCCCACUGUCUUUGGGUCCCAGAAUGAGAAAACACCAUGUUCAAGGUUUCUGAUAACAGCAAAUGAAGGCAGCGGGUACUGUGGGUUGAACCUGAAAGGGCUGAAGAGGCCUUCUUUGUGCACAAAAGGAGUGUAGGAUAGAUGGGUCUUCUUGAGUGAGAUGCAGAAGUGACCAGGGUAACUGUUGAGCCUGAGCCUGUGAGUUGCAGCCAGUGAAGGCCUCACUGUUCCAAGGAGUAUUUAAGUGAGAGGGUAAAGAGCAUCAGCUGAAAUACUGAGGGCCUGCAUGAGAGGCAGAGGUUAUAGUCCCAGCCUCCUGUCCCUGGGACCUGUUCUGACUGAGGUAUUGAUGGGACUCAGUAUGUCCUCAUCAGGUUAUCAGUUUUGAAACCUGUUUCACAUGAAGCCUCUACAUUGAUGAAAAAUUGAGUUCUAACUUUAGCUAUUUAAAAAUGCCUUUCUAUCUGGGCUUAUGGUACAAACUUCUGCUAUAAAGGAGAGCUGCCAGAGGAACAGCUUGACUACUUCAGAGCAGUGCUGGGUAGUUUCAAUUAUGUCACGGUGUCAGUUCUUGGAAAAUCUGCUAAGCUAGUUUUCAAGAACACCUUAGCAAUCUUCUCUGUGGCUUAAUUACUGAGAAGUAACUGUCAUCUGUUGUGUAUUUAUGUAAAAGGUAUAUAGCAAGUGGAGCAGUUGAUGGAUUGAAUACAACUGUUCAUAUGAUCCUAAUGUGUGAAUGUGGAGGAGUAGUUUCCCAAGUAAGGCUCAUUUCCAGGCAAGUCCAAUUAAUUUUUCUGUAACAAGUAUUAAUGACUUACAGUGAUUUUGCUUUUAGUGUCAUGGAAUCAACAACACAGAAGAUUUGUGUUACCCAAGGUAACAGUAUGGCACCGUAACGCCUUUGCUUGAGUGGAUAUUUUGAUCAGGACGCUGUGAUGAGAGUUGACAAAAAUCAGAGGAUUUAACAUUUCGUUCUGUCUCGUGAAAGUGGUUUGAGUAAAAGCUGUUUGGUUCCAGUGGGAUUUUACUUAGGAUGGAAGCCUGCAGUGUCAAUCUUGCAGCUCUCUGAUAUAACAGCAAACCUGCGCCUGACAUAUCAAGGGGAAACACCUUAUGAAGAAGAGCUCAGGCAGCUCUUCUGUAAAGCCCAGAAAGGAGGUAAGGAAAGAGUAGUGCUGGAUGAAGGGUCCACAGUGGCAAGUGUCAUCCGCUGCUGCUCUUGCCCAUGUACUCCUCGCACGUUCAUCUCCAGUGCAGGUGUUUGGUACUCGGCAGUGCGAGCAUGCCGUGCCUUCUUACGCUACUGGAAAGCUGUAAGACCUCUGGAGUUUGGCUUCGUGCCAUUGCAUUACAGCACAAGAACCGCAUGGCUGUAGGUGGAUAGAGACACUAGAUAAUGCAUCUUGAGCAAUCCUGGCACCAAGGCAGUGGUAAAAUAUGAGGAAGAAAUUGAAAGAAACGUGAUAUUUGAUAUGUUCUCUGUAGUUCUCUCUUGUCUGUGGGUGAAGGGAGGAAUUUAAUGGCAAGUUUAGCGUGCAGGUUGUCUUCAAAAGCACCUGUAAGCGGUUUGUUGUUAUGUAGGAUGCAAGACAGUGGGUUAGGGCCUCAGUUACCAUGAAUGUUUUACAGACAAAUAUUUGAAAAAGAGAUAUCUUCCUGCUUUUAAUAAUAUGAAAACUUUGUUUUGAAAUAAGGGCUUGUUCAUUCUUUCCCGGUUUGUAGCCGUAAAUGGCCAAAAAUGCGGUUUUAGAUUUUUUCUUUAGUUUCCUGAUUGUUUGUGAGUAGGCUCUUUUUUGUUCUUGGUGAUGUGAACAGAGAAGUUAUUCUUCAACUGGGAGAGUCUUCCUGAAAAAGUGUAGACACGACCUUACUAGGAUUUUUCUAAGGAGAACACCACAAUGUGAGAACAGUAGAACAAAAUAAUAAAGAAAUGGCCUGUUAUCUUUCCAGCAUCACUUCUGAGUGAAUAUCUUGAAGUAAGACACUGUACAAAAAGCUGUAAUCAGGGCACAUGGUUUAAAAGUGCCCUGGGAGAUGUAGCUGCUGUUGGAAACUCCAUCUGAAAUUAGUGAUGUAGGUGUUAGUCUGACCUAUAUGCAGGCCAGUGCUUUUUGCUAGUUCAAAAUAUUUGCACUUUACACUCAUCUUCUCUUCAAGCCAGGCCUUGAGAGAGGGUUCUGCUCCAAAAUGAAGGCUUGAUGCUGUUAGGCUGACACUGAUGGGCUGUUGGUUGGAUGUACUUUGAGGGGUCAGCAGCCUCACGGGUCUGAGAGCUGCUUGUGGUUGAGGUGAUGGUUUCUGGUGCCCUUGGAGUGGUGGUAUGGAGAUGUGCAGGCCACACUGGAGAAAGGCUUCUUCUACACGUUGUGGAUGGUGGUGCGAGAAUUUAGAUGGAGAGAAAAAAUAUAGUCUUAAAAAUUUAUUCUGGCUGUUGUUUUACUUUUCAUGGAAUCACAGAAUGGUUGGGGUUGUAAGUGACCUCUGGAGAUCGUCUAGUCCACCCUCCCUGCUAAAGCAGGUACACCUAGAGUAGAUUGCAAUCUGAAAACUAAUUAGAGAAUAUAAUUAGGGCUGAUGGCGGUGUUUCAUUGAGAUGUAGGGAAGUAGUCCAAAUAAGGUAAUGACAGUUUUUGGCCUCUUAGAGAGCAACUUGCUCAGCAUCUUGAUUAUCAUUUUAUAACCAUCACAGCUUCAUUGCUUCUGAGGACUGGGGAGAUUUUUGAAGAGGAAUCACUUUGCUGAAUUGGAAUAGCUUCUGCCCUUAAGGUGGUGCCUGUGUAUUUUGCAGUUUACUGUGGCACCUUGGACUGUGUGCUGACCCAGCAUGAAACCCUGCAUGUCCAAGUAGUCUGAGAACACCUGUCCAGCGCCAGGGCCAAGUCAGUGAGGCUGAGCGACCGUGGGUUACGUAAAGCUGGGUGUGGAGCAGCCGCCUCUGUGUGAAACACGGCUGAGUGCAGGAUCUGAUGUGCAGAGAGCUGUGAAAAUGUGCUGCUGGGGAAGAAGCCUUCUUGGGAUAACAAAUCCUGCUGUUACAGAUAGGUGUGCUGGUGGGGUUAAAAGCAGGCACUUGGACAAGCAUUUUCUUUUGCUUUCACAAACAAAAAUUCCUGGAAAUAUUCUGAGCAAAUGUUAUUUUUAUUUACUAAGAGAAUGAGCCAAAUGUGAAAGCCCAAGAGAGAGAAGAUGCGGAGCUAGCAGUGCACAUCCAAUGAUGGGCAAUGUGGAAAGCAACCUGAAACAGCAGAGGAGUCAUCAGCUUCUCCUUGCCUUGUGUUGUGUGGUCACCUAUAGGCUUGAAAUCCCAGCAUGAGGUAGAGCAUCAUCUCCACAGUUCUUAUCUCUUAUGGCUACAAACAAAAGAUGUGAGAAGAGAAAAUGAGUACGCUUGUCCAAGGGAGAUUUGUUCUGUGAUCAUGUGUAAUCAAACAUGUAAUCAACAUUUAAUCAAACAUUUAAUAAACCGCCUGCAUUUUUCCUUGUAAUUAGUUGCUGCCAAUUAUUGCGAUUGAAGAGUGAGUUUCAGGGCGGAGCUGGACAAAAAUAACCCAGAGGAAAACAACUCACUGCUGUUGUGCCUUUGUCUGCCUUCCCAGCUCCUGCUCAAAAGCUGGAUCAGCUGUUUAUACAUCCACCUUCCUUAGCAAUGAUAAGGACAAUGGUAAUUUGGUAGCUUUGAAUAGAAAUUUAGCUUUUAAUUUUUUCCUUUAAGAGGGAUUUAGGUUAUCUUAUAAACUCAGGAGCGUGUUGUGAUGGGGAGGGGCAGGUACCAGAUAAUGUAGGUAAGUCCAUAAAGGGAAAUAAAUGUACAAGAUGCAGCUGAAAUGUUGGCCUGAGGCUUUUUUCUGAGAGGGAGAGCAAAGGUAUGAGUAACAGAGCUCCGGCAUGAUGGUAUGAUUUAGCUUGUCGAGGCAGCUUCUAGAAAAUCUGAGGAGGCCCAAGAAAUUGUCUGGUUCUUCCAGUUACACGGUGUAGCAGACCUCCCAGCAGAUUCCAAUCUGUGCUGCAAUGGAGUCUGGUUAGAAAAUCUAACAGCAGUUUGAUGGUUGUCUAUCAGGUCCUGCGUGCCCUGGCUAAGUUUGGGAAAGUUGUGGUUUUAAAACACACGUGCUUGGUCACUGAUGGAAACGAUGGGUGUAACAGCUGCUGUCUACGAUAAGUUAUGGGGAAAAAACAAAAACAAACAAAACAAGGGCAGGAUUAAUUAGAGUGUUGUGUGUGUAUACCCCAGUGUGUCUGUGUGAGAGAGAUUAGUAGCAAGAUGUGCUUCUCUGAAGUGAUCUGGACACCAGGACAGAGAAUUUUCACCAGCUAGGGUGGAGAUUUUUUGGAGAUACUGCUUUGCCUUCGUCAGGUGCAGAAACUAUAAUGAGUACACUAUCGCUGUCUAAUUUCUGCUCCAGCUUCAAGUUUGUGCUUUUUGACCUUGGCUGAUCCUAUGCAUAAUAAUCCCAUGUCCAUCCCUGCCCAAAGCUUUGGGUGUAUUUCCAUGAAUCUUCAUGACCUGCGUUGCCAUGAUAUUAAAAGGCUGGCAGCAGUACCUUGUUCCAUGUGUUGGAUGUCCAGUUCCUCAAACUGCAGCCCCAUCCAAUGAGACCAAUGGAAAACUCUGUUCUCUUACCUGACCCUUUUGAUAAGGUUUUCGCCCAGGGUCUGUCGUCUAUGGUGUGUCUUCUUUUUUUUUUUUCUUUUUUGUCCUCCCCCCCAAAUGUUCGCAUCAGCUAUUAAUAUUAUUCUGUAUACUGUAGAAUAAAUAAUAUUUAUUACUUUGCUA